AAUGAUGCAAAUAAAGCAAGAAAAAAAUACUGAUGAUCAGAAAAAAGAAAAGUAUUGAGGUCUGAAAGAUCCUCAAAAUAGAGAAGAGCCAAUGACUUCAUACACCAAAUCGGCUAAAUCCUGUCUCACAUUUUCACUGUAGCCAGAAGAGCCACUCUGGUCAAGUAGAAACCCUGAAGUUUGCCGUCAUUUCAUCCAGGGUCUGCAGGUAUGCAAUGGGAAUGUUCCUUUUGGCAUUUGCAAAAUUAGUGCUCCAAAAUGAAAUAGUGGAGGGAAUUGAUUUUGUAAUUGUUAUGCAGGGUUAUUCUCUAAGCUUUUUAGAUCUAAGUUAAAUAAAACAUACAUAUUUUUGCAUUUCCUUUAGAGUCCUUUAGUAUUAAAACCACAUAUAAGAAUUUCUUGAGAUACUCAGAGCAAAAGAAA
rnacentral:lncRNA from 1 species